AUUGAACGCUGGCGGCAGGCCUAACACAUGCAAGUCGAGCGAGCGGCGGACGGGUGAGUAAUGUCUGGGAAACUGCCUGAUGGAGGGGGAUAACUACUGGAAACGGUAGCUAAUACCGCAUACCAUCAGAUGUGCCCAGAAGGGAUUAGCUAGUAGGUGGGGUAACGGCUCCCCUAGGCGACGAGCCCUAGCUGGUAUGAGAGGAUGACCAGCCACACUGGAACUGAGCAACGGUCCAGAAGCCGACGGGAGGAAGCAGUGGGGAAUAUUGCACAAUGGGCGCAAGCCUUAUGCAGCCAUGCCGCGUGUGUGAAGAAGGCCUUCGGGUUGUAAAGCACUUUCAGCGGGGAGGCGUUACCCGUAGAAGAAGCACCGGCUAACUCCGUGCCAGCAGCCGCGGUAAUUC
rnacentral:rRNA from 1 species